rnacentral:rRNA from 1 species
GAUGAACGCUAGCUACAGGCUUAACACAUGCAAGUCGAGGGGCAGCAUUUCAGUUUGCUUGCAAACUGGAGAUGGCGACCGGCGCACGGGUGAGUAACACGUAUCCAACCUGCCGAUAACUCGGGGAUAGCCUUUCGAAAGAAAGAUUAAUACCCGAUGGUAUAAUCAGACCGCAUGGUCUUGUUAUUAAAGAAUUUCGGUUAUCGAUGGGGAUGCGUUCCAUUAGGCAGUUGGUGAGGUAACGGCUCACCAAACCUUCGAUGGAUAGGGGUUCUGAGAGGAAGGUCCCCCACAUUGGAACUGAGACACGGUCCAAACUCCUACGGGAGGCAGCAGUGAGGAAUAUUGGUCAAUGGGCGCAGGCCUGAACCAGCCAAGUAGCGUGAAGGAUGACUGCCCUAUGGGUUGUAAACUUCUUUUAUAUGGGAAUAAAGUUUUCCACGUGUGGAAUUUUGUAUGUACCAUAUGAAUAAGGAUCGGCUAACUCCGUGCCAGCAGCCGCGGUAAUACGGAGGAUCCGAGCGUUAUCCGGAUUUAUUGGGUUUAAAGGGAGCGUAGGUGGACAGUUAAGUCAGUUGUGAAAGUUUGCGGCUCAACCGUAAAAUUGCAGUUGAUACUGGCUGUCUUGAGUACAGUAGAGGUGGGCGGAAUUCGUGGUGUAGCGGUGAAAUGCUUAGAUAUCACGAAGAACUCCGAUUGCGAAGGCAGCUCACUGGACUGCAACUGACACUGAUGCUCGAAAGUGUGGGUAUCAAACAGGAUUAGAUACCCUGGUAGUCCACACAGUAAACGAUGAGUACUCGCUGUUUGCGAUAUACAGUAAGCGGCCAAGCGAAAGCAUUAAGUAUUCCACCUGGGGAGUACGCCGGCAACGGUGAAACUCAAAGGAAUUGACGGGGGCCCGCACAAGCGGAGGAACAUGUGGUUUAAUUCGAUGAUACGCGAGGAACCUUACCCGGGCUUAAAUUGCAUUUGAAUAUAUUGGAAACAGUAUAGCCGUAAGGCAAAUGUGAAGGUGCUGCAUGGUUGUCGUCAGCUCGUGCCGUGAGGUGUCGGCUUAAGUGCCAUAACGAGCGCAACCCUUAUCUUUAGUUACUAACAGGUCAUGCUGAGGACUCUAGAGAGACUGCCGUCGUAAGAUGUGAGGAAGGUGGGGAUGACGUCAAAUCAGCACGGCCCUUACGUCCGGGGCUACACACGUGUUACAAUGGGGGGUACAGAAGGCAGCUACCUGGUGACAGGAUGCUAAUCCCAAAAGCCUCUCUCAGUUCGGAUCGAAGUCUGCAACCCGACUUCGUGAAGCUGGAUUCGCUAGUAAUCGCGCAUCAGCCAUGGCGCGGUGAAUACGUUCCCGGGCCU